rnacentral:rRNA from 1 species
GACGAACGCUGGCGGCGUGCUUAACACAUGCAAGUCGAACGGAAAGGCCCUGCUUUUGUGGGGUGCUCGAGCGGCGAACGGGUGAGUAAUGAAAAGCUAUCUGCCCAUCAGACUGGAAUAGCCCAGGGAAACUUGGAUUAAUGCCGGAUAUGAGGAAACUUGAAAGGUGCGUUUGCAUCACUGGUGGAUGAGGCUUUUUCCUAUUAGCUUGUUGGUGAGGUAAUGGCUCACCAAGGUGAUGAUAGGUAGCCGGCCUGAGAGGGUGAUCGGCCACAUUGGGACUGAGAUACGGCCCAGACUCCUACGGGAGGCAGCAGCUAAGAAUAUUCCGCAAUGGGGGAAACCCUGACGGAGCAAUCUCUCAUGGAUGAUGAAUGUCUUCGGAUUGUAAAAUCCUUUCGGCAAGGAAGAAUGUGUAGAGUAGGAAAUGGCUUUGCAUUGACGGUACUUGCAGAAGAAGUCCCGGCUAACUACGUGCCAGCAGCCGCCGUA